rnacentral:rRNA from 1 species
GAUGAACGCUGGCGGCGUGCCUAAUACAUGCAAGUCGAGCGAACGGACGAGAAGCUUGCUCCUCUGACGUUAGCGGCGGACGGGUGAGUAACACGUGGAUAACCUACCUAUAAGACUGGGAUAACUUCGGGAAACCGGAGCUAAUACCGGAUAAUAUAUUGAACCGCAUGGUUCAAUAGUGAAAGACGGUUUUGCUGUCACUUAUAGAUGGAUCCGCGCUGCAUUAGCUAGUUGGUAAGGUAACGGCUUACCAAGGCAACGAUGCAUAGCCGACCUGAGAGGGUGAUCGGCCACACUGGAACUGAGACACGGUCCAGACUCCUACGGGAGGCAGCAGUAGGGAAUCUUCCGCAAUGGGCGAAAGCCUGACGGAGCAACGCCGCGUGAGUGAUGAAGGCCUUCGGAUCGUAAAACUCUGUUAUUAGGGAAGAACAGAUGUGUAAGUAACUGUGCACAUCUUGACGGUACCUAAUCAGAAAGCAACGGCUAACUACGUG